GUACAUAUAUACGUAGAUACAUAUGUAUGUAUGUAUGUACGCACGCAUACAUACGUAUGUAUGUACAUAUGUAUG
rnacentral:pre_miRNA from 1 species